UUAAAUGCCAUAUUCUGUAGAUCUCUCAAGUGUUUGAAGAUGACCGGUCUAUCUAAAAUAUAGCUCUAUUUGACCUUGAUAACAUAUCUAAUAUGUGACUGCAGAUUUGACUG